AUUGAACGCUGGCGGCAGGCCUAACACAUGCAAGUCGAGCGGAGCGGCGGACGGGUGAGUAAUGCCUAGGAAUCUGCCUGGUAGUGGGGGAUAACGUCCGGAAACGGGCGCUAAUACCGCAUACUAUCAGAUGAGCCUAGGUCGGAUUGGCUAGUUGGUGGGGUAAAGGCCUACCAAGGCGACGAUCCGUAACUGGUCUGAGAGGAUGAUCAGUCAAACUGAAACGGGAACAGGGUCCAGACCCCAACGGAAGGAGGCGUUGGGAAUUAUUGGAAAAGGGGCGAAGGCCUGAUCCGGCCAUGCCGCGUGUGUGAAAAGGUUCUUCGGUUUGUAAAGCACUUUAGGUUGGGAGGCGUUACCAACAGAAUAAGCACCGGCUAACUCCGUGCCAGCAGCCGCGGUAAUAC
rnacentral:rRNA from 1 species